UACAGAGGUCCCAAGCGUUAGGCGGAAUCACUGGGCUUAAAGCGUGUGUAGGCGGAUGCCUAAGUACCUUGUGAAAUCCCACGGCUUAACCGUGGAACUGCUGGGUAUACUGGGUGUCUUGAGCCAUCGUAGGGGCCUGCGGAACAAACGGUGGAGCGGUGAAAUGCGUAGAUAUCGUUUGGAACGCCAACGGUGAAAACAGCAGGCUGGGGAUGGUG
rnacentral:rRNA from 1 species